GGCGCGCUUAAUGCAUGCAAGUCGAGCGAUGAGGCCCUCUUCGGGGGGUACAUCAGCGGCAGACGGGUGAGUAACACGUAGGUGAUCUACCCCAGAGACGGGGAUAACGGGUGGAAACAUCCGCUAAUACCGGAUAGACUUGUUCGGUCAAAGGGACAAGGAAAGGCUCCGGCGCUCUGGGAGGAGCCUGCGGCCCAUCAGCCAGUUGGCGGGGUAACGGCCCACCAAGGCAAAGACGGGUAGGGGGUGUGAGAGCAUGGCCCCCCACAAUGGGACUGGAACACGGCCCAUACUCCUACGGGAGGCAGCAGCAGGGAAUAUUGCACAAUGGACGGAAGUCUGAUGCAGCGACGCCGCGUGGAUGAAGAAGGCCCUCGGGUUGUAAAAUCCUUUACAGGGGGAAGAGGAAGGACGGUACCCCUGGAACAAGUGUCGGCUAACUACGUGCCAGCAGCCGCGGUAAGACGUAGGACACAAGCGUUAUCCGGAUUUACUGGGCGUAAAGCGUCUGCAGGCGGACAGGUAAGUUGGGCGUGAAAGCUCCGGGCCCAACCCGGAGAGGUCGUUCAAUACUGCGCGUCUAGAGGGUGUCAGAGGGGAGUGGAAUUUCCGGAGUAGCGGUAAAAUGCGCAGAGAUCGGAAAGAACACCAAUGGCGAAGGCAGCUCCCUGGGGCAACCCUGACGCUAAGAGACGAAAGCUAGGGGAGCGAACAGGAUUAGAGACCCUGGUAGUCCUAGCCCUAAACGAUGGAUGCUGGAUGUGGGGCCAUAGCGCUCCGUGUCGAAGCGAACGCGUUAAGCAUCCCGCCUGGGGACUACGGCCGCAAGGUUAAAACUCAAACGAAUGGGCGGGACCCCGCACAAGCAGCGGAGCGUGUGGUUUAAUUCGAUGCUACACGAAGAA
rnacentral:rRNA from 1 species